rnacentral:ncRNA from 14 species
GCCCGGGUGGUGAAAUCGGUAGACACGCAGGACUUAAAAUCCUGUGGCAUAAAAGCCAUGUCGGUUCAAGUCCGACCCCGGGCA